rnacentral:rRNA from 1 species
AGACAGAGGGUGCAAACGUUGUUCGGAAUUACUGGGCGUAAAGCGCGUGUAGGCUGUUACGCAAGUCGGGUGUGAAAGCCCUGGGCUCAACCCAGGAAGUGCACUCGAAACUGCGUUGACUUGAAUCUCGGAGAGGGUGGCGGAAUUCUGGGUGUAGAGGUGAAAUUCGUAGAUAUUGGGAAGAACACCAGUGGCGAAGGCGGCCACCUGGCCCGGUACUGACGCUGAGGUGCGAAAGCGUGGGGAGCAAACAGGAUUAGAAACCCCGGUAGUCC